rnacentral:lncRNA from 1 species
GUCUGUCACCACGUGAGAUGUGCUUUUCACCUUCCACCAUGAUUGUGGGGCCUCCCCAGCCACAUUGAAAUGCAUUUAUGAAGUAGGGACCUGGAAUUGAAGAGACUCCUAAAGGAGAGACAGAAGUUUGAAAGAGCAAGAAGAGUGGAUGUGGAUCCAGACAGAAAAAGAGAACAGCAAAUAUUUGAAAGAGCUUAAGACGUACUCCUCAAGGUUGAAGAACUCACUUUGGCAUUUCUUGUAAGAUGGUUCUGGUGGUACCACAGAUAGAAGCCUUGAGAAGCUUACUUUGGUCAGAAAUUUUGCCUUUGUCUGCAGGCUUCUACCAGUUCGAUUCCAUCUGUGGGUCUUAGGUUUCAGUUACCUGAAGUCAAAUGUGGUCCAAUACACAGACUGGAAUAAGAGACAUUGGAGACUCCAAAAGAAUAUUUUCUGGUAGACUGAUAUAUUUCUCCUAAAAAAUUUGGAAAAAUUUUGUGAUGAAGAAGCUACCUGGGCCUGAAGAUAUCUUUUCUGAAGAUGGCCAUCUACAAAGUACACAGAGGAUACCCACCUGUCACCGGAUCUGCCAGCACCUUGAUUGUGGACUUUCUUGUCUCCAGAAUCGUGAGACUUGUUUCUGAUCUGCGUGGGAAAGAAUUCAGUAUUUCUCCAUUUAAUAUGACAUUAGCUAUAGAUUUUUUAUAUGAUAUUAGCUAUAGAUUUUUUAUAGAUGCCUUGCAUUAAAGUGAAGAAGCUUCAUUUUCUUCCUAAUAUUCUGAUUUUUUUAUCAUAGAUAUGUUUUAUCUAAUUUAUUGAAAAAAUAAUUUCAAAAAUGUGUGGCCAGGCACGAUGGCUCACACCUGUAAUCCCAGCACUUU